rnacentral:rRNA from 1 species
AGAGUUUGAUCAUGGCUCAGAACGAACGCUGGCGGCAGGCUUAACACAUGCAAGUCGAACGAACGUAGCAAUACGUUAGUGGCGCACGGGUGAGUAACGCGUGGAUAUCUGCCUUUUGGUUCGGGAUAACCUUGGGAAACUAGGGCUAAUACCGAAUGGUUCCUACGGGAUAAAGAUUUAUCGCCAAAAGAUGAGUCCGCGUCCGAUUAGCUAGUUGGUGGGGUAAUGGCCCACCAAGGCGACGAUCGGUAGCUGGUCUGAGAGGACGAUCAGCCACACUGGGACUGAGACACGGCCCAGACUCCUACGGGAGGCAGCAGUGGGGAAUAUUGGACAAUGGGGGCAACCCUGAUCCAGCCAUGCCGCGUGAGUGAUGAAGGCCUUCGGGUUGUAAAGCUCUUUUGGCGGGGACGAUGAUGACGGUACCCGCAGAAUAAGCCCCGGCUAACUUCGUGCCAGCAGCCGCGGUAAGACGAAGGGGGCUAGCGUUGUUCGGAAUUACUGGGCGUAAAGCGAGUGUAGGUGGUUGUCGUAGUCAGGCGUGAAAGCCUUGAGCUCAACUCAAGAAAUGCGCUUGAUACUGGGCAGCUAGAGGACCGGAGAGGAUAGUGGAAUUCCCAGUGUAGUGGUGAAAUACGUAGAGAUUGGGAAGAACACCAGUGGCGAAGGCGGCUAUCUGGACGGUUUCUGACACUAAGACUCGAAAGCGUGGGGAGCAAACAGGAUUAGAUACCCUAGUAGUCC